rnacentral:lncRNA from 1 species
AAAGAUAGCUUCGGAAACUGAGCCUCUCUGAACUUCCUGAUGUAUCCUUUGGCUUGCUUUUUAAAGAUCGACUCAUGAUGGACUCAUCAGAAAUAAUUGGAGGUGGGAGGGAACAAUGUCAUCACUGACAGACUGUGCAACAACAAUUACUUGGAGCAACAGAGAGCAACGGGACAGCAGAGACCAUAUCUCCAACCAUUGAUUGUCCUUCAGGUAAACCAGGAAGUAAGAGUAACUGGACCACUGCCCCUACCUCAUAGUAGUUGGAAAGGGAAAAAUUGUACUUACCAUAUAGAGAAAAAUUUGAAAUCUUGGUAGCUUAAGUGAUCAUUUCACUCAGUAAUUCGAGUGCCUGUUGAGAUGUGUGUACAAGCUCAGACAGUCUUCCUGGGCUGCGCCAGACUACUAAAAAGCCGAUGAAGCACAUUCUUUAUUCUGCUACAAAACAAAUGUGAAAAUGUCUUGAUGAAAGCUCAGCUGCUUUGCAAAUGUACAAUGAAGGCAAAUUUAACUGUCUGGGAUUGAACGAAGCCACAGUGAAAUGAUGAGAGUGGUUGCAGGAUUUUAGGAAUUUUUGUAUUUGGAUAAAUGAGAAGAUCAACCUGUCCUGUGUUCCCCGCGUGGCUACUGUGGGCUUUGAAGAAGUUAAUGUAGAGAAAGCCUGCUCUUAUGGUGUCUCGUUUUGUUAUCAAUGAAGACUGCAUCUGGACUAGGGAUGGAGGCAGGUGUCCACUUACCUUUUCAGCUCUAGGACCCUUUCUGGUACAGAAACAAAACAUAUUGCCUCAAGUUUCCAGGAGUUCACAUAUGUAUUAAUUCUGAUGAAUUAAAGAACAUAAUUUUUGGGGUGUCCUCCAGCCCUUCUGAACUUUAUGAUUGGAAAAAUGAUUUAUAGUAGCUCAAAACUUGAACGGAAACAAAAGAUUGCUCUGCUGUGUUAUAAACAAGAUUGUGUAAGCAGUCUAAUAAAAUGGGAAAUAAAUUGGGUAGGUUUGACUUAGUGUUGUACAUAUUCAGAAGUUGAAGCUGUUGUUUAAAAUGUAAACCUUCACUGUAGUAUAUACUCACACUUAGAUAACUUUGAUAAAGCAUUAGAACUGUGAAACAUUUAGACUUUGCUUUUACUGUUAAUGAGAUUUAAGCUGUUUGCCCUAUAUUCUUUUCCUUAUUUCAGAAGCUGUUUUGGUUUCUUGUGCGCAUAUUUAAAUCCUUUUUUUUCCUGUGAUUAAACCACUAGG